CGGCAUGUAGCUCAAUGGUAGAGCGGUUGUCUUAUAAACAACAGGUUCUAGGUUCGAUUCCUAGCAUGCCGACCA
rnacentral:tRNA from 1 species